UACGAAGGGGGCGAGCGUUGUUCGGAGUUACUGGGCGUAAAGGGCGCGUAGGCGGCGAUCCAAGUUAGGCGUGAAAGCCCCGGGCUUAACCUGGGAAUAGCGCUUAAGACUGGACUGCUUGAGUGCGGGAGAGGUGAGUGGAAUUCCCAGUGUAGAGGUGAAAUUCGUAGAUAUUGGGAAGAACACCGGUGGCGAAGGCGGCCAUCUGGACCGCAACUGACGCUGAGGCGCGAAAGCGUGGGGAGCAAACAGG
rnacentral:rRNA from 1 species